GGAUGUUAAAUUGACUCUAGUAGGGAGUCCGUUCCGCGCGACUCCCUAAUCGAGUCAGGUUGACUUCUUU
rfam:Bombyx mori DNA, contig: Bm_scaf25_contig16520, strain: p50T/Dazao, build 2, whole genome shotgun sequence.